AAAUUGAAGAGUUUGAUCAUGGCUCAGAUUGAACGCUGGCGGCAGGCCUAACACAUGCAAGUCGAACGGUAACAGGAAGCAGCUUGCUGCUUCGCUGACGAGUGGCGGACGGGUGAGUAAUGUCUGGGAAACUGCCUGAUGGAGGGGGAUAACUACUGGAAACGGUAGCUAAUACCGCAUAAUGUCGCAGGACCAAAGAGGGGGACCUUCGGGCCUCUUGCCAUCAGAUGUGCCCAGAUGGGAUUAGCUUGUUGGUGAGGUAACGGCUCACCAAGGCGACGAUCCCUAGCUGGUCUGAGAGGAUGACCAGCCACACUGGAACUGAGACACGGUCCAGACUCCUACGGGAGGCAGCAGUGGGGAAUAUUGCACAAUGGGCGCAAGCCUGAUGCAGCCAUGCCGCGUGUAUGAAGAAGGCCUUCGGGUUGUAAAGUACUUUCAGCGGGGAGGAAGGUGUUGUGGUUAAUAACC
rnacentral:rRNA from 1 species